rnacentral:rRNA from 1 species
GAUGAACGCUGGCGGCGUGCCUAAUACAUGCAAGUCGAGCGAACAGACGGGGAGCUUGCUCCUCUGACGUUAGCGGCGGACGGGUGAGUAACACGUGGAUACCCUACCUAUAAGACUGGGAUAACUUCGGGAAACCGGAGCUACUACCGGAUAAUAUAUUGAACCGCAUGGUUCAAUAGUGAAAGACGGUUUUGCUGUCACUUAUAGGUGGAUCCACGCCGCAUUAGCUUGUUGGGAAGGUAACGGCUUAGCAAGGCAACGAUGCGUAGCCGACCGGAGAGGGUGAGCGGCCACACAGACACUGAGACACGGUCCAGACUCCUACGGGAGGCAGCAGUAGGGAAUCUUCCGCAAUGGGAGAAAGCCUGACGGAGCAACGCCGCGUGAGUGAUGAAGGUCUUCGGCUCGUAAAACUCUGUUAUUAGGGAAGAACAAAUGUGUAAGUAACUAUGCACGUCUUGACGGUACCUAAUCAGAAAGCCACGGCUAACUACGUG